UACGGAGGGGGCUAGCGUUGUUCGGAAUUACUGGGCGUAAAGCGCGCGUAGGCGGCUUUGUAAGUUAGAGGUGAAAGCCCGGAGCUCAACUCCGGAACUGCCUUUAAGACUGCAUCGCUAGAAUUGUGGAGAGGUGAGUGGAAUUCCGAGUGUAGAGGUGAAAUUCGUAGAUAUCUGGAGGAAUACCGGUGGCGAAGGCGGCAUCCUGGACCGGCAUUGACGCUGAUGAGCGAAAGCGUGGGGAGCGAACAGG
rnacentral:rRNA from 1 species